UCUAAAUGAAGAAUUCAGACUUUCAUAAACUGAAAUCAUUUUCAACUAAAGCCAAGAGAAUCAGACUAUUGUCAGGCAAACGACUAGUGAACAAACUGAAAUCAUUUUCAACUAAAUUCAACAGUAAACUCGAGUAGAAAGCAUUAUACUCCCUCCGUCCCGAAAAACAUGUCGGACGGGCAUUUUCCCAAAAACACCCCUGAGUAAUCUGCGACCAAACCCUCGGUCCUAUCUCACUUCCGACCGCCGCUCUCGUCCUCGCCCUCUCGCUCUCGUCGAUUCCGACCGCCGCCGCCGACGCCGCAGGCCGCCGGCCGCCUAGCUCCACCCCCUCCCUCUUCCUCUAACGCGCCAAGCCGCCGCCUUUCUUCUACCGCGACGCAUCCCUCCCCCUCGCGCGCGUCCUCGCUGCAUCCCUCUUCUCCUCGCCGCCAAGCUUUGAUUUUUCCCCCACGGUGGCGGAGGGAUUUGCAGCAGCGCUGCUUGAAUCGAAUCGGAUGCUGGCGACGGGGAUCUGCUGCUGCGCUGGGGAGCGCAUGCUCGCGCCGGGUAGCGGGAUGGAGUGGGCUGAUGGAGUGGGCUGCUGACGGCUGAUGGAGUAGGCUGCUGGCGCCGGAGAGCGGCUCCUGUUCGUCGUCUCCGUCACCUACGAGCAGCAGCUCGAACAGGUAUGCUACCCCUGCUCCUCAUCUCCUCCUUCCCCUACUCCAUGUAGCUGUGUAAUGGAGUACUCCUCACUGCUUCUCUUACUGCUCACUGUAAUGGAGUACGGGAAUCUUAGUUCAGCUGUGCUCUGUAGUCAUCUGGGUGGAUGGAUGGAGAGGAAGGAAUGAAGGAGAUGAUGGUCUGCUAGCUGGUUUGUGUGUAUAAAAGGGAAAGCCUGUGGCCAUUCGAACCAUACAAUGAUCAGGGACUGAGAGUGAUAAUCGAAAGAGAGGUCGAGUAGUAGUGGUGGCGGUUAGAGCUCGGUGAGAUUCAUUCUUUGAGUCUUCAGUAGUCUGUUCAAUCAUUUCUUUUGGCAUUCAUUUUGAUACCCAGUCUUCAGUAGGUCAGUGCACAUUCCUGUAACAGAGCAAGAUUAGGGGAAUGACAUCGUUUUGUUUUGAGAACAAGAAUACACAAGACAGUGCGAAUUAGGGGAAUCGAGCAUACUAGCUUACCGUGUACCAAAGGUUUUGAGAAGAUGUCCUUUUGGUGUAUCAAGUUAUACUUCCACACACCCACUGCAUUACAAGAAAUUCAAAGAGGAUAACUCAUGGAGAAAGAGAAAUACUCCAGCAGAUUCAACUAGCACACUGGAGUACUGUACAAAACUGCACACAGUUUCAGAUAAACAGUACCAAUAUGCACAGGUUUCAGUGAUUCAGCUCACCUUGAGCUCCUGGAGGAGGACGUCGGGGCAGAAGGGGUUGGUUCUGUAGGAUACCGGCUGCAGAAGGUCGAGGAGAAUGCCAGGAUGGGGGAAUCUGGCUGUGCUUGAGGGCGAGUGCGAGGUCGAGGGUGUGCACAAGUUUCAGUUAAACAGUACCAAGAUGCACAGGUUGAGCUCACCUUGAGCUCCUAGAGGAGGACGUCGGGGCAGAAGAGGUUGGUUCUGUAGGACACCGGCUGCACAAGGUCGAUGACCAGCAGUGAUGCUUGGCGUUGCGGUUUCGCCGGCAAGAGGAGCAGGUCGAGGAGUACCAGCGGCCCUGCAGCAACCCAGCAGGGGAGGACCUGUGCUAUGCUCGACGAGGAAGAGGGCUCAAUGUCGGGGCCGGGCGCAGCUGGCGGUACGGCGAGGCCGGGAAUCUAGCCGGGACGGUGACGCCGGCCUAGCGCAGCUUCCUCAGGUCGCGCGGCGAGGCCUCUGGCGCGGCGGCGAGGCAGGGCCCAAACGGAGCUGCGGAGGCGGAAGGCGAUGGAGCUGCGGAGGCGGACGAGAACGAAUACGAGAGCAGCACCGGCGCCGUAGGAGAGUGCGCGUCUAGCCGGAUGGCCGGCCGCCAGGUCGACCCGCCCUGUCGAGUCUGGCCGAGCUCGUGCGCAUCCGCGAUGGAAGAGCGUACGUCCUCGAGAUCGUGUGCGUCCUGGAAGAGGGAGUGCGGGAACUCGCGCGCUUCCAGGAAGAUGGAGUGCGGCCGGCGUCCGCGCUCGGCCGGCGUCCGCGCGACGGAAGCAGGCCGUCGACGAAGACGACGAUCGACGGAGAAGAUUGCAAAUUUGAAAAUCAAUUUCAAGCCCAGAUUUGACACAAUAAAAAUUUAGUAGGGGGUUUUCUGUAAAAGUGCAAAUGAACGCGGGUGGGGGAGGCACUACGACAAGUUUUUUGUGACGGAGGGAGUACU